GGGGGUCAGAAAUUGGUACCCGGGGCCGUGGGGCAGCACCAGAGGGUGUUGCACAUCUGGCAUUGGUGGUUCAGUGGUAGAAUUCUCGCCUGCCACGCGGGAGGCCCGGGUUCGAUUCCUGGCCAAUGCAACCUGUGUUUUUUUUCUCUCCUCGGUUGUCACCGGCUGGGGAGGGAGAGGGGCUGUCACCGCCACCCCCGGCGGGUGGCACUGCCACAGCUGGAGGGGCCAUCCUGCAGAAGGUGGCCCCCGAAUUUGUCCCUGUUUUCCCGGUGGCAGGACCUCGCUGUAGCAGUAGCAGAGGUCCUAACUCUCCUCCCAGGCAUCUGCUGCCUUGAUGGAGCCUGGGGGAGCCCUUGUGGGUGGCUCAGGGGAGGGCUCAGAGGGUCUCCCUUGAGCAUCUCUGGAGCCCUUGGCCCCGUGUGGGUGCUGGUGGGGCCUUUCUUUACUCCCAUGGGGCUGUGUGAGGGAGAUGCCAAGGGGCUUGGUGGCAGUAAGCACCCCUGGGUUGGUGGCAGGUUGUGCCCCUGACUGAGGGACAGUGCUUGUGCAUGUCCUGGUGGCCAUGAGUUGGCAGUAAGUCACACUGACUCCCGGUGACAAUGAGGGUCCAUGUCUGGGUGGCCCUGAGGGUCCCUUGCUCCUCUGCGGUGGGGCACAGAGGUUGUCUCUUGCGCACCUCUGGAUCCCUUGGCCCAGUGUGGGUGCUGCUGGGACCCUUCUUGACUCCCCUGGGGCUGUGCCACGGAGGUGCCAAGGGGCUUGGUGGCAGUGAGCACCCCUGGAUUGGUGACAGUGAGUGCUCCUGGCUGAGGGACAGUGAUUGUCCAUGGCUUGGUGGCCAUGAGGGCCCAUGGCCGAGUUGGCAGUAAGUCCCACUGACUCCCAGUGCCAAUGAAGGUCCCUGGCUUGGUGGCCCUCAGGGUCCGUGGCUCAGAGGCAGGGGGUGUGGGGCGGUGGGGUCAGAGGUCAGGGCACAUCUGGCAUUGGUGGUUCAGUGGUAGAAUUCUCGCCUGCCACGCGGGAGGCCCGGGUUCGAUUCCCGGCCAAUGCAGGAGCUGCAGCUUUUGCCACCCCGGUGUCCUGGGGGAGCCCUUGUGGGGGGCUGAGGUGGGGCUGAGAGGGUGUCCCUGGAGCACCUCUGGAGCCCUUGGCCCCGUGUGGAUGCUGGUGGGGCCCUUCUUGACUCCCAUGGGGCUGUGUGAGGGAGGUGCCAAGGGAGUUGGUGGCAGUGAGCACCCCUGGCUGGGUGGC
rnacentral:tRNA from 1 species